GCGCAAGCCUGAUGCAGCCAUGCCGCGUGUGUGAAGAAGGCCUUCGGGUUGUAAAGCACUUUCAGUAAGGAGGAAAGGUUAGUAGUUAAUACCUGCUAGCUGUGACGUUUACUGACAGAAGAAGCACCGGCUAACUCCGUGCCAGCAGCCGCGGUAAUACGGAGGGUGCGAGCGUUAAUCGGAAUUACUGGGCGUAAAGCGUACGCAGGCGGUUUGUUAAGCGAGAUGUGAAAGCCCCGGCUUAACCUGGGAACUGCAUUUCGAACUGGCAAACUAGAGUGUGAUAGAGGGUGGUAGAAUUUCAGGUGUAGCGGUGAAAUGCGUAGAGAUCUGAAGGAAUACCGAUGGCGAAGGCAGCCACCUGGGUCAACACUGACGCUCAUGUACGAAAGCGUGGGGAGCAAACAGGAUUAGAUACCCUGGUAGUCCACGCCGUAAACGAUGUCUACUAGGAGCUGGGGUCUUCGGACAACUUUUCCAAAGCUAACGCAUUAAGUAGACCGCCUGG
rnacentral:rRNA from 1 species